AACAGCAUACUAGUGUAUUGCUCAAAAGCAAAAAAAUUGAAUAUAAAUUCAUAUCAUAUAACCAAUUCUAAGUUCUUUGACUACAGUUAUUCUGUGUCAGAAACCUAUUAUGUGUCAAAUAUUUAAUUACAAUCCAAAUUUAGACCUGUAUCAAGCACGAAUAUUGUGUCCAUUUUUGCCCCAACUGUUUAGGGUUGGACCUCUGCCGUGGUAUCCAGCUGCGCUCGGCAAAGCGAUUUAUUUCGUAUUAUAUAACUAUUGAAAUUGCAUAUUAUAAUGUAUAUUGAUAUUGGAAGGACUUGAUUUUAAAAUUGUGAUAUUCCAUUAUACCAGGUAUAUAGUUAUUUUCAGAUUUUGAAACAUGUGUUCAUGUGUUAAUGUAAAGUUAUACAUUUAAAGUAAGCUUCAUGUACUUAUAUUUUUAUACGACCGCAAAAAUUGUGUCCCAAGACACAUUGGUUUUCGCACUCUAACUUUAGUUUAAGUGAAUGGAUCUCCAUGAAAUUUUACCAUAAGGUUCAAUACCACAAAAGGAAGGUUGGGAUUGAUUUUGGGGGUUAUGGUAAUAACAGUAAAGGAAUUAGGGGCCAAAAAGGGGCCAAAAAUAAGCAUUUUUGUAACUUCCAGACAUAACUUGUGUGUUAGUGUAUGGAUCUCUCUGACAUUGUACCACAAGGUUCCAUAUCACUAAAGGAAUGCUGGGAUUGAUUUUGGGGGUAAUUGCCUCCAAAUUUUAGGAAUUAGGGGCCAAAAAAGGGGCAAAAAACAAGCAUUUUUCUAGUUUCAUGACAAUAACUUGUAUGUAAGUGUAUGGAUCUUUCUGAAAUUGUACUACAAGGUUCCAUAUCACAAAGGGAAAGCUGGGUUUGAGUUUGGGGGUAAUUGCCCUAAACGUUUAGGAAUUUGGGGCCAAAAAGGGGCCAAAAAACACAUUUUUUUCUAGUUUCCAGACAAUAACUUGUGUUCAAGUGUAUGGAUCUCUCUGAAAUUGUACUGCAAGGUACCAUACCACAAAGGGAAGGCUGGGAUUGAGUUUGGGGGUGAUGAAUCAUAAUGGGGGUUCAAAAAAUUUUGGGGGGGGAUUUAUUUUUUUUUCCUUUUUUUUCUUUUUUUCCUUUUUUGUUUCUUUUAAAAUUUUCCAUUUUAAGUUGGUUAUUUCUGAUUUAUAUUUAAAAUCAAAUAAUAAUGAUAUGGUAGGAGAUACACACCAAACAGGAUGUGUAAAUUAUUAUAUAAUAAGUAUUGUGCAAUGGCAAGAAAUUUUCAAUUGCACAGUAUUGCACAAUAGCAAGAAAUCUUCAAUUGCACAGUAUUGCGCAAUAGCAAGAAAUCUUCAAUUGCACAGUAUUGCGCAAUAGCAAGAAAUAUCCAAUAGCACAAUAUUACGCAAUAGCAAGAAAUUGUCAAUUGUACAGUAUUGCGCAAUAGCAAGAAAUAUUUAAUAGCACAGGAUUGUGCAAAAGAAGAUACUUCCUAUAAAUUGCUUAUUUCUUGACCGAUUUCAAUGGGGUUUUAUUCUUGAUUUUAUGGGGUUCUUUAAUAUGCUGAAUAUAACCGUGUAUUUAGUUUUUGGAUUUUGGGCCCCGUUUUUAAAUUGGUCCACAUUGAGGUCCAAAGGGUCCAAAAUUAAACUUUGUUUGAUUUCAUCAAAAAUUGAAUUAUUGGGGUUCUUUGAUAUGCCGAAUCUAACUGUGUAUUUAGAUUCUUAAAUUUUUGUUCCGUUUUCAAAUUGGUCUACAUUAAGGUCCAAAGGGUCCAAAAUUAAACUUAGUUUGAUUUUAACAAAAAUUGAAUUCUUAGGGUUCUUUGAUAUGCUGAAUCUAAACAUGUAUUUAGAUUUUUGAUUAUGGGCCCAGUUUUCAAGUUGGUCCAAAUCGGGGUCCAAAAUUAAACUUUGUUUGAUUUCAACAAAAAUUGAAUAUAUGGGGUUCUUUGAUAUGCUGAAUCUAACCAUGUAUUUAGAUUUUUGAUUUUUGGGCCCCGUUAUCAACUUUGUCCACAUUGAGGUCAAAAGGGUCCAAAAUUAAACUUUGUUUGAUUUCAUCAAAAAUUGAAUUAUUGGGGUUCUUUGAUAUGCCGAAUCUAACCGUGUAUUUAGAUUCUUAAUUUUUGGUUCCGUUUUCAAAUUGGUCUACAUUAAGGUCCAAAGGGUCCAAAAUUAAACUUAGUUUGAUUUUAACAAAAAUUGAAUUCUUAGGGUUCUUUGAUAUGCUGAAUCUAAACAUGUAUUUAGAUUUUUGAUUAUGGGCCCAGUUUUCAAGUUGGUCCAAAUCGGGGUCCAAAAUUAAACUUUGUUUGAUUUCAACAAAAAUUGAAUAUAUGGGGUUCUUUGAUAUGCUGAAUCUAACCAUGUAUUUAGAUUUUUGAUUUUUGGGCCCCGUUAUCAACUUUGUCCACAUUGAGGUCAAAAGGGUCCAAAAUUAAACUUUGUUUGAUUUCAUCAAAAAUUGAAUUAUUGGGGUUCUUUGAUAUGCCGAAUCUAACCGUGUAUUUAGAUUCUUAAUUUUUGGUUCCGUUUUCAAAUUGGUCUACAUUAAGGUCCAAAGGGUCCAAAAUUAAACUUAGUUUGAUUUUAACAAAAAUUGAAUUCUUAGGGUUCUUUGAUAUGCUGAAUCUAAACAUGUAUUUAGAUUUUUGAUUAUGGGCCCAGUUUUCAAGUUGGUCCAAAUCGGGGUCCAAAAUUAAACUUUGUUUGAUUUCAACAAAAAUUGAAUAUAUGGGGUUCUUUGAUAUGCUGAAUCUAACCAUGUAUUUAGAUUUUUGAUUUUUGGGCCCCGUUAUCAACUUUGUCCACAUUGAGGUCAAAAGGGUCCGAAAUUAAACUUUGUUUGAUUUCAUCAAAAAUUGAAUUCUUGGGGUUCUUUGAUAUGCUGAAUCUAACCAUGUAUUUAGAUUUUGGAUAUUGGACCAUAAUAGGUGAAUGUCCAAUUUAAAAUUUUUAAGUUCUUAGACCACAUUCAAUCUGUGUUAGAAACCUAUGCUGUGUCAAAUAUUUAAUCACAAUCCAAAUCCAAAGCUGUAUCAAGCUUGAAUGUUGUGUCCAUACUUCCCCCAACUGUUCAGGGUUCGACCUCUGCGGUCGUAUCAAGCUGCGCCCUGCGGAGCAUUUUAUUUGUAAUUUUAUCCUACUUCCAACUUUUUUUCUUCAUUUCAAGAUUCCUCAUCCCAACUUUGUACCCUCUAUAUCCCACAUCCCCAAUUUUUACCCUCUAUAUCCCACAUCCAAAACGCAUGUAAUCCCCUCUUAACAAUAUCGUCUUUUUUGUUCAAUAGUUAGAUUAUUUACUGUGAUAAUAUUGCUAAAGGUUGGUAUAAAUUACUGUUAUUGUGGCAUUGCCCACUGAUCAGUUUACAUAAUUAAAAAUACGCGACUCUUUUUACAAAAAAUCUUACAAUUAAAAUUGAACGUAAGUUGACUGAAAUGUUUAUGACCAAUGAGAAUUUUUCUCGUAAGAUAUUUUAUAAAACAAGUUGCAGUAUGUGUGUAUAUAAUGAACAAGGAUUUUGAAACGUUUCUGCCCAUCUUGUUUCCCAUACAUGCUGUAUGUCAUCUAAAGAUAGAGAAGUACAUAUAGUUGUAAGGAUUGAUUUUAUACAAAUAGAAAAUUGUGAUCUUUUGUGUUUUUACUGUGAGAGAGAAUUGUUUUAUUAAAUGUCAUAACAGAGUAUUCUUAGACAAUUAUUAGAAGCAAUAAGAAGUAUUAUUGUAAAUAGAAAUUUUAUUAGAUGUACUAUCUUUAGUGCUAAAUAUUUGAUGUAAAAAUUAUUUAUGAAUACAUAGAUAACAUUAUUCCAUUAUUGUGUACAUUACUCUUUAGUGACAAAUAUUCCAUGGAACAUCACUGAUCAGAAAAAUUAACCCUAAAGGUCUUAUGUAAUACUUUUGGUAUAAGACAUUUGGGCUAAAUCAAUAACGUGACAAUGGUAUCAUUUGAGCUAAAUCAAUAACGUGACAAUGCUAUCAUUUGAGCUAAAUCAAUAACGUGACAAUGCUAUCAUUUGGGCUAAAAAUUUUGGAUUUACAUUUAGAGUGAUUUUAGACUAAUUUAAUUUUUUUACCUGUACUGUUAAAUUACAGAUAAUAUUUUUCAAAAUCAAUAUUUGAUGUAAAAUAUAUAAAAUAUCACUUAGAAAUAAUUUUAAAAAUACAACCUUCAUAAAUCUGGUCAUUUGAAAACUAUGCUAGUUUGAAAAGAAAAGAACUUAAUUGAAGUUUUAUACCAUUAAAUGGUAAUUAGUUUAUAGUUGAGAUCAGGCAGUAACACAAGAUUACAGUUUUGAAGGCUGUUAGCUUAAAAUUCAGGACCAGAGCCAAUAUUUGAGAACAAUUAAUUACUGUAUAUAUCUAAACAUGCAUGCAGCUGUUUUAUACCUGCACUUUGUUCAUAGUUUUAAAAAGUUAUUUAGUGUUAUUAUUAGACUCAUCUUGCUCAGAACCCCUCUUCCACCUCGCUGUGGUGAACAAGUGAGAAGACAUUGUCUGGUAAACAGAAUGGGUACAUAAAGCAAGAAUAUGUUAUAAAUAGAAUAAUGUCAUUCUACAUAUCUAAUAUUAAUAUAUAAUUAAAAAAUAGACAUGCUACCUGUUAUUUACCUGUACAUGGGAGGAUUAGCUCAAAAGUAGACUUUAAAUUUUAUCCCAAAUGUGGACACCCCAUUGGCGCAACAUAUUUUUAGCCCAAAUAUUACGCCAAAUAGCCCAAACGUGCAUUCCAAAAAUUGUAUUGAUCUGUUAAAUAAUUCAUUGUGUUUUAUAUUACCUAACUCUUCUUGAGCUGGGAUAUCAGUCCAAGACUAGAAGAGAAGGUAAAACGAAUUAGAUUGCCCCUACAGGAAAUCAAAAGACCAUUUGGCAGGAUCUGCAACAUAUCACCUAUGGGCACAUCCAAAGAAUACUUUUUAGUUUGCAUUUUUUCUUCUGGGGAAAAGGGGGGGUGUUAUACUGUUAAUCAAGAGAUGGUUAGGCAACAGCUGAUUAGAAUUAGAAAUUUGGAUGAUUCGCAAAUUGAAAUUUUAAGAUAAUAUGGGACUCUCUUUUAUAAAUAUUUUGAGUGUAUAUAAAGAAUUUCUACAGUUUGCGUAAUAUUUUGAUACAAACAAAUGUUUAAAUAUUUGCAAUUUCUCAGCAAUAUAUGAUAAAUUGAGAUUAACAAAGUAUUUUUUAUCUUUUAUUUUUUUACCCUUUUCUAUAUAUUUUAUACAGUUGAAAUACUGUUUCCCUAUUUUAGAUACUAAAGAUAUGUAACAGUGUUUAUAAUUUUUUUGAAAUGAAUUACUGUAAUAAAUUUAUUCUUGGUGGAUGCCAUUUCUCUUAGAUUUGAUCUGUCUGUUUUCUCCACACACAAAAAAAUUUCAUUGCAUAUAAUGCAUAUAGUA